rnacentral:rRNA from 1 species
AUUGAACGCUGGCGGCAUGCCUUACACAUGCAAGUCGAACGGCAGCGGACCUUCGGGUGCCGGCGAGUGGCGAACGGGUGAGUAAUGCAUCGGAACGUGCCAUUGAGUGGGGGAUAACGUAGCGAAAGUUACGCUAAUACCGCAUAUUCUGUGAGCAGGAAAGCAGGGGGACCGCAAGGCCUUGCGAUCUUUGAGCGGCCGAUGUCAGAUUAGCUAGUUGGUGAGGUAAAGGCUUACCAAGGCGACGAUCUGUAGCGGGUCUGAGAGGAUGAUCCGCCACACUGGAACUGAGACACGGUCCAGACUCCUACGGGAGGCGAGCAGUGGGAAUUUUGGACAAUGGGCGCAAGCCUGAUCCAGCCAUGCCGCGUGAGUG